rnacentral:rRNA from 1 species
GACGAACGCUGGCGGUGUGCUUAACACAUGCAAGUCGAACGGUAAGGCCCUUUCGGGGGUACACGAGUGGCGAACGGGUGAGUAACACGUGAGUAACCUGCCCUCAUCUCUGGGAUAACAGUCGGAAACGGUUGCUAAUACUGGAUAUGAGCUUGCAAGGCAUCUUGUGGGUUGGAAAGAUUUUUUUUGGUUGGGGAUGGACUCGCGGCCUAUCAGCUUGUUGGUGAGGUAGUGGCUCACCAAGGCUUCGACGGGUAGCCGGCCUGAGAGGGCGACCGGCCACAUUGGGACUGAGAUACGGCCCAAACUCCUACGGGAGGCAGCAGUGGGGAAGAUUGCACAAUGGACGGAAGUCUGAUGCAGCAACGCCGCGUGCGGGAUGACGGCCUUCGGGUUGUAAACCGCUUUCAAUUGUGACGAAGCUUUUUUGUGACGGUAGCAGUAGAAGAAGCACCGGCUAACUACGUG